AAUUUAUUUUUACAUUGAUUCGCUAUGAUUCCUCUUAUAAAUUUGAUGUGUGAAUCUGCAAUUUAUUGCGCUUCUAAGUAAUUUGACAAUUAUAAACUCUAGGAGACCCAAUGUGCAUACAAAUGUGAGUUGCUUGAAAGUAUAACCAUCAAUUCGUAAAUUUCCUAAUCCUAUAGAAUAAGGAUUGAAGAAUGUUUUUAUCUUGGGAGGAGCUUAUCAAAUCAAAUGAUUAUACACGACCCCUAAAUAAAUUAUGGCAUU